UACGAAGGGGGCUAGCGUUGUUCGGAUUUACUGGGCGUAAAGCGCACGUAGGCGGAUUGUUAAGUCAGGGGUGAAAUCCUGGAGCUCAACUCCAGAACUGCCUUUGAUACUGGCAAUCUUGAGUCCGGAAGAGGUGAGUGGAACUCCUAGUGUAGAGGUGGAAUUCGUAGAUAUUAGGAAGAACACCAGUGGCGAAGGCGGCUCACUGGGUCCGGUACUGACGCUGAGGUG
rnacentral:rRNA from 1 species